rnacentral:sRNA from 12 species
GAGCAAAUUAAUUACUUCGUAUUAUGUUACAAAAAAUUAAUUGCCAACCAGAAAGUGCAUGAAUAGGAUAGUCCAUUAGGGUGCAUAUUAUCACGACUGACAAUGUAUCUCUAAUUUUUUCACAUUUUCCUUUAAUCUCUUAUCACUAUCUAAAAGGAAU